GCAGCUUCUUAGAGAAACCUGCCUCCUUGAUUUGGGCAGCCAGUCAAUUCGGCUCCUUGAUCCAAAGUAGAGAUUAACAGCACUGCACAUCCAAGCUCAUCGAUUGAUGAGUCGCUAGACUUGUAUUAAAUUUGAAAAAAUGGGCAUGAAGCUUCACAAACCAUUGCAGAUUGGGAAAUUUUUGGGUAUCAAAGAAGAGAAAUUUCAUUAACUCACUUUUGAAAACUUUGAGUUGGUAGAGCUUUUUAGACUUGUCGAUUAAGAUAGACUUCAAAUGAAUUUCGACAAUCCGCUCAAGUGGACGACGACUUAUAUGACCACAGUCAGUGACUUGUAAUGUUGAUUUGAGAAUCUCAUCUCGAACGACCCACAUCUCUUAGUACCCACAACCUAGUGGAGAAUCAGAGGUUGUGAAUUUAAGCAAAGACAAAGUCUUUGAUUUCCCAAGGAUUUCAAUUGUUUGGAGUUUCGUUGUAAUAGUCAUCGUUUAUUCUGUUUGCCAAAUAUGUAGUGCUCAUUUUAACCCUCCAUUCACCAUAGCUUUUGCCACUACCAAGAGACUUUUCAUGAAAA